UACGGGGGGGGCAAGCGUUGUUCGGAAUUACUGGGCGUAAAGGGCUCGUAGGCGGCCAACUAAGUCGGAUGUGAAAUCCCCAAGCUUAACUUGGGAACUGCAUCCGAUACUGGAUGGCUUGAAUCCGGGAGAGGGAUGCAGAAUUCCAGGUGUAGCGGUGAAAUGCGUAGAGAUCAUGAGGAAGACCAGUGGCGAAGGCGGGUCUCUGGACAGUUCCUGACACUGAGACACGAAGGCCAGGGGAGCAAACGGG
rnacentral:rRNA from 1 species